ACCACACAAAAAUAAUAUUGUUUGACCUUAAUACACUAUAAAUUGAUCAAAUCAUAUUCUAUUUCGUAAGACAUAGAAAAAAUAUGGUUAGAACUCUCAAGUUUGUUUAUGUUAUAAUUUUAAUUCUUUCCCUAUUUCUUGUUGCCAAGGGGGGUGGCAAAAAAAUUUAUUGUGAAAAUGCGGCUAGUUGUCCACGCCUUAUGUAUCCUUUAGUUUAUAAGUGCCUUGACAACAAAUGUGUAAAGUUUAUGAUGAAGUCACGUUUUGUUUGAUAUAAGUAUAUCGCGCCCAAGACGGUACACAAACGCCAUGCAAGGAGGAGUGAGUCCUUGCACUAGCAAAAAAAUCUAUGCAACAUACCUUAUUGUUGUACCGCGUGUUGCCAUUUAAUUUUUUUUACUAGCAUCCAAUAAUUGUAUCUUUUAUAUUUUUCGUUUUAUAACUUCAUGGAUGUUAAAAGUAUGACUCUACAUUCAGAGAUGUUGAUAAUAAAAUGAAAUUAGGCACUAAAUAAUAUUAUAAUUGAA